ensembl:lncRNA
CAGCACUUACUUUCACUCUCAAAAUAUCCUGAUAUUAAAGGUAAAAAUCCAUCAUCCACAGUGAAGAUAUGGUGUCAGAACUGGAGGGAGUCUUGGGUUUGAGGUUCCAACGUGGAAGCAGAUUGGAAACUACUGCCCAAAGAGCAGAAAGAGAUGGAAGCCAUGGCUUUGGAAUGAGAGAAAAAGAAAGCUUUGUCCAUGCUAGAAGAAUAGAAAAGGGAGUAAUCAGGGAUUCACAAAAGAGUAAGGUGAAACCAGAAAAGCUGUCGAGGACAGAACUGUGUGUCCACUGUCAGGUCUGGUGAGCUCAGAGCCACAGCACCACGCAUUCCUGGCAGAGCAGGGGUGCCCUUGGAGGAUUCUGAAGUGUCACAGAUGGAGACAAGAUAGCCACCGUCCUUAGCCCCGAUUCUACACUAUGCAUGCCUGUGGCUUCCUACACCCUGACCACAUGUUGUAGACAAAUUGUGUUGAAGACUGAAUGGCAGGGGAACCAUGAGGUGGAUGCCUUCCCUGGCUACAGGAAAUGUAAGCUUACAACUUGCAUCUUGAGGUUGUUAUUUUUGUGUUAUUGUGGCACAAUACCUGACAAAAACAACUUAAGGGAGAAAGACUAGUUUGGGCUCCAAGUAUUAGAGGGUUUUAGGCUUUUUGAGUUAGUAUUGCCGUUAACCUGGAAAUCUACUUUUAAAAGUCAACGGAGUUUACAGAAGAAGUGUGUACUUCGUGGGAUUUACUUCAAAAUCACCUGGGGAGAAGUCAGUGAGGUAUAAAGUCAUGAGACGGUCAUGAACAUCCUAGAUGCUGAAGAUAAUUAUUCUCUUUGCUUUCUAUACAUGUAUUCACACUUGUAUUUGUGUAUAUGUCAGUGUCUGUACAUGUCACACACUUGCUUUGUUGUUAGUGGUGGUGUUGGAGAUCAAACCUGGAGUGCCAUGCACUCAGAGUGUGUUCUCCACCAUUGACCAGCAUCCUCAAUCCUUAAUUCUAUGUUUGACAUUCUGUUUAAAAGCCAUAAGGGAUCCACUCAAAGCACUUUAGCUUGCGACACUGGAAAUUGGCACUAGAAACCUGUCUGACACACUGGGCUGGUGCAGCUUUCUCGCAGCUGCUAUUGUUUAUUACACACCAAAAAAGCCCCUGGUUGUGAGUGGGAGGAGAAACCGGCCCAGACAUUCUCCAGGAUGAUGGUGACUGACUCACUGCCCAACCCCCAUUGCAAGGUUUGUCUCUAGUGGACAGGGUAUUCCCCGUGUGCCAUCCCGGGGUUCAGUGAAUCAUUCCUGAAAUCAGAGUUUCAUAUCUAACUAUAGCGAGUGUUGACGGUCAAAGCUGGAAUCCCAGGGCUGGGCUGAAGUGAUGAGAGGCUACUGAACACCCUCCCCCACUUUAAAGGUCAAAACUUUCCUCUAGAAAAUACUCAUCUCUGCCUGGGAGCAUCUGCAUGACGUCACCCUAGCUAUGAACUUCAAAGAGGAUGUUUCCUAAAGAUGCCAUGUAACCCGUGCUGCAAUUAUUCUAGGGAUGAGAGUAGCUCCAUCCACGAGCAGACACUUCAGUGUUGACAGACACUAAAGAAGGUGCUGGAAGUUCAGGAGUCUACCUCCAACUGUCUCAGCUGCCCCUGUGCCAUAGUAAUGGUGAAGAGGGCACAGACUAUCCCCCCUUGCUCCAUGCCAAAAAGACCCUCACUGAAGAACCUUAUUUUCUACAGUCUUCACAGGGUACAGUGAGCAUUCCUGCUGCCACUGUGUCACCCGGUUGCUAGCCAGUGACUGGAGUCUGUCGCUUAUGCCUGUAUUCUUCCUCUUGCCUAGCAAGCUGAGGAAACCGAGGCUCAGGGAGAUGGAACUACUUUUUCACAGUCAUAGCUGCUGUGGUUGGGUUGACGUGGAGGUCCCCUUCUUGCUGCACCUCAGGUAUCAAGAGAUUCUAUCUUCUCCAUGGAAUUCAAAGCAAAUGUCUCGAAGGCCAACAGUGUUUGAAAGGAAUGUGUUAAAGAGAAGAAAGCAGACCAGCAUAACUGUUCCAUAAGUAAAGUCCCUUGCCACCAAACCUGGUGACCUGAGUUCUAUCCCCAGUUCAAGUUAUGCUCCAACCUCCACAUGUGUGCUGUAGUAGGCUUGCUCAUCACCCAAAAUACAUGCAUACAUACAAUAAAUAAUAAAGUGUUUUAAAAUGAGAGCUAAGAGAGCAAGAACAGUUGCCUAUGUUUUUCAUAUCAUGAAGUAACUCUGUGGGGGCAGCUGAGGUGUCUCCAUUUUUCCCAGGAAGAGAAUAUGGUCCAUGAUCCCAGAAGGAGAAUGUGGUCCAUGAUCCCAGGAGGAGAAGGGGAUCCACUACUGCAGAACAACAGAUGGGCAGAACUGACAAUCCAAGCUGCUUGGCUCUGCUUGGAUGCUGGAGGGAUGUGUUACGGUUGUCCCCAAGGGCUUGCUCCAAGCCAGGAGAAGACCUAGAAAAGUAACCGAACCCUGCCUCACUCAUUUUUCACCAUCCUCUGCAUAGCGCCCCCUUCCACUCUGGUUUUGCUUAGCAUCCCCUCAUUUGGGGUAGUAGACUUCCUCCAUCCUCUCUCCUCACUUCUUGGAAUUCUCAAAGUUUAACGCAGAGGUUGUGGGCCUUCCUUGGUCUCCCACACUGUGGUUGGUUCUUUUGCCCUGUUGCAUCUUGCACCAUACAUUCUGUAUUCUAGCUUAUGUUUAAAUGUCAGAUUUACCAUGUUAGGUUGUACACAACCAGAGAUGAGGCCUAAUAAUUUGUGCUUUUGUUUAAAAUAAUGAAUUGUGAGCUAUGUAGGGAAGUCUACUAGCAUAUUACUAAUGAGUUUGGUAUCAUUAAGCAUUCUGUGCAGUUCUUCCCGGAGAUAACUCAACUGUGAACUAAUUGUUUUCCUGCUUUCCCUUGAGCUUUUGAGUCUUUAUGAAUCCCCAGGUUUAUUAUAGCUUUCUGUUACCACAAGAAAUACUCGAGGUAGUCCGCUUAUAAAGAGGAAAGUUGGGUUUUGAUACACAGGCACGGCAGUGUCUGUUCACACUUGUUUGCUCCUCUGUUUGGGGGUCUGUGGUACUGUUUGGAGGCAGUACCAUGAGGCAGAAACAUACUAUGGAGCAAAGCGCCUCUCAUCAUGGCCAGCUGUGAAGAACAGUAAAGGGAAGAGACCAGGGCUCCACAGUUCCCUGCAAGGGCAUCUUCCCAGUGACCUAGAACCUCACUAAUCCCCACCUCCUACGCUUUUCACCACCUCUCUGGGACUGUACCAGAAACUAAGCCUGUAACAUGUAGACCUUGUGGAGCAUUCCAGAUCCAAGGUAUAGCGCUAAGAAUUAUUACUUGAUUUCAGACUUUGCAGGAAUGAUGCUAUGUCAUAAGUGUUCUUCAGCACUUACUUCAUAUUAACGUGUGUGGCUGUGGUUAGUGUGUUGCUGCUAGUUUGGUGAUGUAUAGUAUCUCAUUAGAGACUAUCAUGACUUUUAUCCCCUCUCUCAGAAGCGGGAAUUUAGGCUGUUUCUGACUUUCUUGCUUUUUAAACAGUUCUGGCAUGAACAUCAUUUCUGCCCCUUGGUACAGUGCAUGGGACGUGUGUGUGUGUGUGUGUGUG